rnacentral:rRNA from 1 species
UAGGGAAUCUUCGGCAAUGGACGAAAGUCUGACCGAGCAACGCCGCGUGAGUGAAGAAGGUUUUCGGAUCGUAAAACUCUGUUGUUAGAGAAGAACAAGGACGUUAGUAACUGAACGUCCCCUGACGGUAUCUAACCAGAAAGCCACGGCUAACUACGUGCCAGCAGCCGCGGUAAUACGUAGGUGGCAAGCGUUGUCCGGAUUUAUUGGGCGUAAAGCGAGCGCAGGCGGUUUCUUAAGUCUGAUGUGAAAGCCCCCGGCUCAACCGGGGAGGGUCAUUGGAAACUGGGAUACUUGAGUGCAGAAGAGGAGAGUGGAAUUCCAUGUGUAGCGGUGAAAUGCGUAGAUAUAUGGAGGAACACCAGUGUCGAAGGCGGCUCUCUGGUCUGUAACUGACGCUGAGGCUCGAAAGCGUGGGGAGCAAACAGG